CUUGAGCCCCAUUUCUACGCCUUUCCUGGAUUUAAUCCAUUCAAUAUCACUGGGAAGAAAAUGGGACUGGUAAGCGGGGGAUUCACUAACGAAGCCUGCCUUGCUGGACUGGACCAAGUAGCUGGAAGAGACGUCCCGCACUCCAACAUUUUCCAUGCACACACGCCUGACGACCUCGUGGCUAUGAUCUUGAACCGCACUGAACAUUGAAGAUCAAAACCUGGAGAUUUACAUUAACAUAUCGGUUCGAGCUACUGGGGACAGCAGUCCAGAAGAAUUCGUAAGUCAUAAGAUACAUCUUACAGAAUUCGAACCGAGGGAGGGCCACCCAUGGUUUACAAGAACAACAACGAGAAGGAGGAGCGGCGCCAGUAGACAUCUCUUCAGCACUGACUUUAAUGAAGAAAUCGCUGGAAAUGAACCACCUCCAACGAACCAUGAUGAAACAACCAAGACAGGAAACAAAACUAGUACUGACCGUGGGUGGAAUGCCUCUUACUUCAAGGCUGUAGCUUUCUCAGCCUAUCAGGACGCUGUUCAAAGCAUCGCCGACGUUAAAGACAAGAGUCACAGUCACUUUGUUUUUUGGCAACACAGCCUUUAUGCUCUUCUUAAUAACUACUGCGACAAAGUUCAGGCAACAUCAGCAG